ACCUCGGACCCUUCGGCUAAACCUCUACCACUAGGGCAUCGCCAUCCGUUGUUCACAGUCCCGAGCUUCGCCUAAUAGUGCCACUGGAUUCCUCUGCACUAAACUGGUGUCGAGCUUUUCUCUAGAGCUUAUGGGCAAUAAGGCUUCGCUGGAGAUGACGCCUUGCUGUGGAUCUUUGGAAGGGAUGUCUGGUCAUGUUUGGCCAAUAGUAGGUCAUUGGAGGGUGUCUUGUUAUUGGCUGCCACAUUUGAGGUGACAGCAGCUUUGCAGUAACUUCGAUCAUGAAUUUCCAGUAGCAAGCUUUUCCAGUUGUGAAUAAAGAGCAUCCGGUCUGGGUAAGUUUGGAUGAUGGGUUAUGCAAGAUUUAACAGCGAAGCAUCUGAAUAAGAGGUCCUGAUACCGGUAGAGGUAUGUGGAGUCGUUUGGAGUAUCUUGUCUGUCGGUUCUCACAUCAUAUCAGAAUACCUGUUUUAUAGUUUCAUUUGAAUUUUAUUUGUUUAUGUACUAAGUGUACUUACCUUUGUAUCUUCCGAUUUUGUUUUUGGUGUUGCUAUGUGGUAUUUCGUGGUGUUGUAGAGUUGUGUAAGUCUAGCCGGCUAGUAGUCUUGUAUUUUGAUUUGUAUUGGUUUCUAUCGUUUUUCGUUGUGUUUUGGUUUUAGUACAGCCGAGUGGGUUGUUAAAUAUAUAUAUAACUGUGGUUGUUUAUUUUAUUCCAGCCGAGUGGAUUAAUGAUAUAAACUGUGUGGUUGUGUAUAUAUUCCAGUCACAUGUGGCUGAUGUAUAUUUUGUAUGUAGAAAUGUCUCAGAUUGUUACAUGUACAAAGAAGAUGUUAUCAAAAUUUCUUUUGGUAAGGACUACUUGGGACGUGACAAGAACUCUCUUUGUUCCGUGUGAGAUGAUCUGCUUGUUAAUAUCUUUUCUCUAAAUGGCUGAUUUUUUGCCUAGUGCUUCGCCCUACGGAUCUCCAUGAUGUGCUAAAAGCUUUUCAUUUAUGUGCUCUUUCUUUAGCUAGUUGGUGUGUACUGGAGCUAGCUAAUGGGUUGGCUAUCUGAUGGAAUCGUGUGUCAGCUUCUUUUUGGUCUGUGAGGAAUGCAUCUUUUCUGCCCUCCGUGGGAGCAACAUCGUGGAAGUUGUUUAUUUGUUCCCCUUAACCUUAUCAUAUAUCAACAAGGACCAUAGUCGGAUUAAUAUUCAUUAUUUUGGAUCAGUUUCUUUCUAGGUCAGCUAUACUCAAUUUGUUUUUAUUUUUUGCUUUAUAUGAAAUGUGCUAUCUUGCUUUUGAAAUGACCUUACAGACUGUACCUGCAUGCCAGAAUCUAUAUAAGAAUUCCUUUACUUAUCACUGCCUCAAAGAUGACAAAAUCCUGCAAUUUAAUUUUUAGGUAUGAUUGCAUAAACUUCUGGUGCAUGUAUUAAUAGGUUAGUAUUUCUUGAGUAAUAUACCUUUUUCUGCUAUUCGUCCCUUUAAACUAUUAAAGAUAUUUAAUAUUGAGGUUGUGUUGUUUUAGAAUAUAGUUCACUCUUUUACUUAAAAAAAAAGUUUACAGAGCUAUAUGAUCUAGACGAAGUUGAGUCAGAUAGAAAGGUACAAACUGUACCUACAUACCAGAAUCUAUAUAAGAAUUCCUUUACUUAUCACUGCCUCAAAGAUGACAAAAUCCUGCAAUUUAAUUUUUAGAAGUUGAGUCAGACAGAAAGGUCGAUGAUGAAAGUGAGGAUGUCGACGAAGAGUGGACCUGGGGCUAAAAUUUGAAGAUGCGUGGUAUCCUUCAGAUCUUCACACAUGACGAGGAAAGAUCGUCGAAAAUGAUACCCUCGGGUCUGCACACACCACAGAGAGAUCAUACAAGAGCAUUAGGGUGAGAACCAGGGAAGAGGCUCCUGCGCAAGCACUCUGACACUCAAGUCAGAAUGGAGUUGAGCGAAAAGUGCGAAAAUAAGAUGAAUAAUAGAACAAUAGUAGAUGUGUGUGUGGGUGCGUACGUCGCCAACGGAGAGCAUUAUCCUUUUUAUACUAUCUCUCGUAAUCUCCGCAAUACUGUGUAAGUA